rnacentral:tRNA from 1 species
AUAGCUCAGUUGGUAGAGCACCUGACUUGUAAUCAGGGGGUCCCGAGUUCGACUCUUGGU